rnacentral:rRNA from 1 species
UUGAACGCUGGCGGCAUGCUUUACACAUGCAAGUCGAACGGCAGCACGAAAGAGCUUGCUCUUUUGGUGGCGAGUGGCGAACGGGUGAGUAAUGCAUCGGAACGUACCGAGUAAUGGGGGAUAACUGUCCGAAAGGAUAGCUAAUACCGCAUACGCUUUGAGAAGGAAAGUGGGGGCUCUUCGGACCUCACGUUAUUCGAGCGGCCGAUGUCUGAUUAGCUAGUUGGUGGGGUAAAGGCCUACCAAGGCGACGAUCAGUAGCGGGUCUGAGAGGAUGAUCCGCCACACUGGGACUGAGACACGGCCCAGACUCCUACGGGAGGCAGCAGUGGGGAAUUUUGGACAAUGGGCGCAAGCCUGAUCCAGCCAUGCCGCGUGUCUAAAGAAGGCCUUCGGGUUGUAAAGGACUUUUGUUAGGGAAGAAAAGGAUAGUGUUAAUACCAUUAUCUGCUGACGGUACCUAAAGAAUAAGCACCGGCUAACUACGUG